CCCCCACACCUCCCGCUUCGCAUCAUCCAGACAACUGUGACUGUUUUAAUUCUGACCGCUGAUUAGGCCGAUUCAAUUAAGUCCUCCACGCUGUCUCCAACAGUGGAGCAGCGUGGGGUAUUUGGACUAUUUAUCAAGCUACAGCCUUUAAUGGCCCUUUAAUUACAGACCCGGUUGGGCUACGGGCGCCCGGGUGGAACCCGGGGGUCUGAGUGGGACGCGGGGCCCGAGGUUCUGACCGAGGGGGGGUGCUGGCUGGCCUCUCGGAGGAGGAUUGUCACCUUCAGACAUUUGACUCGAAUGACUCAAGAGAUAAAGAUCAGAUCUGUAAUCAGAAAUAUCUCCGUUUCCCACCCCGAGGCUUGUGGGAAGGAAGUUGAACUCGCCCUCGAGCGGCUCGUGUUGAUGACAUCAUCACCGGGUCAAUCUCCCGCUCUAAUGGCGACUAAUGGCGUGAUGAGAGGAGCAGCCCCAUGCCGUUGGGAACCUGAUAAUCCCACUUUGUUCCCUUUGGAUUUGUUAAGAAAAGCCCCCCCCCCCUCCGCCUCCCCCCUCGGUAGCUGAUCCCCUUCGUGUUGCAGCGACACAAUGCCCCCACCCCCCCACCCGCCGGGGCCCCGUCCACCUCUUAUUCUCCACCUCUCCCAUUUGACGGGGGGGCAACGUAUUAUUUUAUUCACAAUUAGCAGAAAAGCCUGGAGGUGAUCACUUCCUCUGCAGAAGGUGUGCAAACAUUCGUGGGGGGGCAGGGAGGCAGGAGGGAGGCAGGAGGGAGGGACAAACAGACAGGAAGUGGAAGUCUGGUUUCGUUAGCUGAUCUUAUGAGCGUGCAUGGAUUUGCUCCAACAACAACAACAACAACAAAAGACCCCAAAGGAGUCCCCCCCCCACACAGCUCCUCCCACUAUGCUCGGCCUCAUUAUGGCGUCUCCAGUUCAAAAGGGAGGGAGGGGGGCUUUGAUGAACCUGUCCUCCCACUUCCUGCUGGACUCUCACAGUUUCUGCCAAAUGCUUAAAUCCCCCCAGUGUCAGAGAGCAGGGGAAGAAUAGGUGAGGGGGGAGUCGGGGGAGGAAAGGUGAGAUCUGAGACCAGGGUCAUGGACGGAGUCUGAUACAAAAAGAGACCAGAGGGUCAAAUCAUUUCUUAAAAGGUUCCUGAUACUUUAAAUCAGCUCAUUGCAGCUUAUUAAAUGAUUCUGAUCAUUAGAUAAUAACAACUGUGAAACAUUAUUAUUUAAUGACAAUAAUCAAAAGCAGCUGCUCUGGUCAGAAGGUGGACUAAGAAGUAGACGUAUGACUCACUAGAAGGAAUAUUAUCACAGAUAAAGAGUUUAGAAGCUGAAUUAUCAUGUUUAUUACAGUGAAUGAAGGUCUCUAUGCGCCUCAGUGAUGAUCGAUACUGUUCAUCUGCCACGAAGACGACUGACUUCUAAUAAGUCAUUAUCCUGCAAAACAUCCAAUUAAUCAAUACUUCACCUGAUUUUUUAAUCGGGAUUAAAAGUUUGUCUUUCUUAAAACUAAAUCGUAGAAGUAAUGAGUUGUUCAAUUCUUAACUGUAUUUUAAACAGAAGCUGCUCCCAUGUGAUCGUGUGGAGGUGGAACAUGUUGAACUAGCGACUCUUCUUGUCCAACAUUUAGCCGUCUUUUAGGGACACAAUGGUGGUCCACUGCACGUUGAGUUGGAAGUAGCCUUGCAGCUAGCUUAGCCUAGCGGCUAGCUUAGCCUAGCGGUGCGUAAAGUGGUCCGUUUGCCACUCUUCUUCUGUUUGUUUUGCUUCCAAAGCAAAAAGCGUCCACAUCUUCAGCGACCGUCUGGCUUUAUCCGACCUGACUGACGACAGCACGCGGAGAUCUUGUUUCUUCGCUUUUCUUUACUUCCGGCAAACUGG
ensembl:lncRNA